GACGAACGCUGGCGGCGUGCUUAACACAUGCAAGUCGAACGAUGAAGAAAAGAAUCGAAGCUUCGGCAGAAAUUCAUUUCGGAUUAGUGGCAGACGGGUGAGUAACGCGUGAGCAACCUACCUCUUACAAAGGGAUAGCCUCGGGAAACCGGGAUUAAUACCAUAUAACAUUGUGACGAAGCAUUUCGAUGCAAUCAAAGCUACGGCGGUAAGAGAUGGGCUCGCGUCCCAUUAACCGGAUGGUGAGGUAACGGCUCACCAUAGUGACGAUGGGUAACCGGCCUGAGAGGGGGAACGGUCACACUGGAACUGAGACACGGUCCAGACUCCUACGGGAGGCAGCAGUGGGGAAUAUUGCACAAUGGAGGGAACUCUGAUGCAGCGACGCCGCGUGAGUGAUGAAGGAAUUCGUUUCGUAAAACUCUGUUCUAUGGGAAGAAAAGGACUGUACCAUAGGAGAAAGCUCCGGCUAAAUACGU
rnacentral:rRNA from 1 species